CUUAGGCGUGUGACUGCGUACCUUUUGUAUAAUGGGUCAGCGACUUAUAUUCUGUAGCAAGGUUAACCGAAUAGGGGAGCCGAAGGGAAACCGAGUCUUAACUGGGCGUUAAGUUGCAGGGUAUAGACCCGAAACCCGGUGAUCUAGCCAUGGGCAGGUUGAAGGUUGGGUAACACUAACUGGAGGACCGAACCGACUAAUGUUGAAAAAUUAGCGGAUGACUUGUGGCUGGGGGUGAAAGGCCAAUCAAACCGGGAGAUAGCUGGUUCUCCCCGAAAGCUAUUUAGGUAGCGCCUCGUGAAUUCAUCUCCGGGGGUAGAGCACUGUUUCGGCAAGGGGGUCAUCCCGACUUACCAACCCGAUGCAAACUGCGAAUACCGGAGAAUGUUA
rnacentral:rRNA from 1 species